CUACAGUUCGUCUAAUCACCCCGUUGUAUUCAGACGGCAACAAGAAGAGGCAUCAGAUUCAGAGAAAUUGUUGAGCACAAGGCAGCCUUGACAGCAGGCAGAGCUGCUCAGUGGGCAAUCUUCGACAGACUGAUGUUGGUGAACGGACUGCAGGAGGUGAAGAGGCACUGUGGGAGCCUACAAAGAGCAGCCGGGAACUCUGGAGGCACUGUGCCUACAGCUGCAAGAUCAGAGUAAUGCAGUGGAGGGAGGAAUGGCCUUCUCUGCCUCCUGAAGAGAAGAUUGAGUGAACUGACACAAGACCAAGGAAACACCAGGAACACCUAGCAAAAGCUGGUCCUAUUGCUGAGACCUCAGAUAACAACUGCUAUGCUUUCUGAAAUCAUUCAGCAACCCUGCCUCUGCUCCCUCGGGAGCAGCCUGGUCUCUUGACGUUGACCCCUGACCCCUCACCUUCUGAACCCACCCAGAGAAAUAUAAUUUGCCUAGUGAUGCGCUAGUGGAGAAGCAACGUGUUAUUUCAGUGCAUUUGUUGCCAUGUUUCCUCUCCUCACAUUCCUCACCUGAUUUUCUUGUGAGUAAUGAGAAAACAAUCAUCAAAAAUGAUGGGAAUAUUGCAUUUUGAAAAGCAAAUACUUAGAUUGAAUAUGUAGGCAAAUUCCGACAUCAGUGGACCUGCAUUAGAGGUGUCAUGAAGAAUUAGGGCUGAUACAGUAUUGCACUAUUUAGGCAGCGCAGGGUUCCUGUUACCAUUUGUAACAGGGAACAACUUAUUAGGCUAUAGCUUAUUAUAUUACCAACUGACCUUCAAAUAGGCUACAGACAAUUUCUUCGACCUCAUGGCUUGGU